AUGGGACUGGCGGCGCCGGUGGCGCGGAGGGCGGUCGGAGCCCUGCUGUUCCUAGCGACCGUGGCCCUCCCGUGCCUCGUGACGCGCUCGCCGCCAUGGCGCCAUGCAUUCAGGACGGCGAGGCUGGAGCGGGUGCUGCGGGGGGCGGCGAUGGCGAACGACACGGUGAUCCUGACGACGCUGAACUCGGCCGGCGUGGUCGGAGCCCGGCUCCAUGCUGGACGUCUUCCUGGAGAGCUUCAGGACCGGCGAGAGCACCAGGGAGCUCCUGGACCACCUCGUCAUCGUGUCGCUGGACACGACGGCGCACGCGCGCUGCAGGCAGAUACACCGGCGCCGGCACUGCCUAGCCCUCGUCACGGACGGCGUCGACUUCUCCGGGCAGAAGAACUUCAUGACAAACGGAUACCUCAAGAUGAUGUGAAGGAUCGACUUCCUCAGGCAAGUCCUUGAGAAAGGCUUCAGCUUCAUUUUCACGGACACGGACAUCGUGUGGUUCAGAAACCCGCUGCCGCAGUUCUACCCGGACGGGGACUUGCAGAUCGCGUGCGAUCGCUUCACCGGCGACCCAGACGACCUGAGCAACGCGCCCAACGGCGGGUUUGCGUACGUGUGUUCCAAUACGGAGACGAUCGAGUUCUACAAGUUCUGGUCAAAUCAGCUGCUCCACGACCAGGAUGUGCUCAACGCCAUCAAGAGCGACCCCUACGUCGCCGAGCUCGGCGUCAAAAUCAAGUUCCUCAACACCGAGCUCUUCGGCGGCCUGUGCGAGCCGAGCCGGAACAUGCGCCAACUGCUGCAUCGGGCUGCGGCGGAAGAUCAGCAGACCUCAACGCCAUGCUCCAGGACCAGGACUGGAGGAGGUUCGUGGCGUUGCCGUGCAAGGAUCAGCAAUUUGCGUCCUGGACUGUUCCACGCAAUUGCAGGUAACCAAGACAUGUUCAACGUUAUGCACAUUAUGUGUUUCUGAUCAAGAGGAGGCCGUCUUUGCAGUCUUCAGAAACUGGAGCGGUAGGACAAGAGGAAGCUCUCCGUUUGUCCAGUGACUAGUUCAGAGUUCAGAACAUGGAUGAUGUAAACAAAAUGUGGGAAGAUUGUAAGUUCCUUUUUGUUGUGAUUUCAGAACAUGGAUGAUGUAAACAAAAUGUGGGAAGAUUGUUAGUUCCUUUUUGUUGUUGCUUGUACUGUAGGUAGCUGAUAUUAACCAAGUGAAUUACUAAGUAUUGACUGCCGCAAUGAAUUAUUCGCACAUUUCGACUCCCUGUAAGCAAAAGAGAGGGACUGAACGAUGCAGCUCAAAGUAACUUCAGGAAAUACAGAAACCUGCUAAUCGAUGCCUAUAUAUCCACUUGCUUGUGUUUCAUUUUUAACUAAAAUGGAGGAAUCUUAAAGUUUCAGCAUGGAACCACACAUUAAGUCCCAUGUGAGUAAAGAUGCCCUUAGGGAAAAAUAUAUUAAGUACUUGGACAUUGUUGCCCCAAAUCCGGUGCGGUUACAUUUGCAGGCGUUUAUCUUCCGACAUCUGCAUUUCUGAAGCUCUGCGUGCCAUGUCUCAUGCUAACAAAAAAAAAGAAAGAAAGAAAAAGAA